rnacentral:rRNA from 1 species
CAGUAGCCGCGGUAAUACGAAGGGGGCUAGCGUUGCUCGGAAUGACUGGGCGUAAAGGGCGCGUAGGCGGCGAUCAAAGUCAGGCGUGAAAUUCCUGGGCUCAACCUGGGGGCUGCGCUUGAUACUUGGUUGCUUGAGUGGGGAAGAGGGUCGUGGAAUUCCCAGUGUAGAGGUGAAAUUCGUAGAUAUUGGGAAGAACACCGGUGGCGAAGGCGGCAACCUGGUCCUUGACUGACGCUGAGGCGCGAGAGCGUGGGGAGCAAACAGGAUUAGAUACCCCAGUAGUCCCUGUCUCUUAUAC